rnacentral:rRNA from 1 species
UACAGAGGGGGCAAGCGUUGUUCGGAAUUACUGGGCGUAAAGGGCGCGUAGGCGGCCGUUUAAGUCAGACGUGAAAUCCCUCGGCUCAACCGGGGAACUGCGUCUGAUACUGGGUGGCUUGAAUCCGGGAGAGGGAUGUGGAAUUCCAGGUGUAGCGGUGAAAUGCGUAGAUAUCUGGAGGAACACCGGUGGCGAAGGCGGCAUCCUGGACCGGUAUUGACGCUGAGGCGCGAAAGCCAGGGGAGCAAACGGG